rnacentral:rRNA from 1 species
GAGGCGAACCGGGGGAACUGAAACAUCUAAGUACCCCGAGGAAAAGAAAUCAACCGAGAUUCCGAAAGUAGCGGCGAGCGAAAUUGGACUAGCCCUUAAGCUUUACACGCGUUAGACGAACGGUCUGGAAAGUCCGACGAUACAGGGUGAUAGUCCCGUAGUUGACGACGUGUGUUCAGUGAAAUCGAGUAGGGCGGGACACGUGAUAUCCUGUCUGAAUAUGGGGGGACCAUCCUCCAAGGCUAAAUACUACUGACUGACCGAUAGUGAACCAGUACCGUGAGGGAAAGGCGAAAAGAACCCCUGUGAGGGGAGUGAAAUAGAACCUGAAACCGUGUACGUACAAGCAGUAGGAGCAGGCUUUGUCCUGUGACUGCGUACCUUUUGUAUAAUGGGUCAGCGACUUAUAUUCAGUGGCAAGGUUAACCAUCUAGGGGAGCCGUAGGGAAACCGAGUCUUAACUGGGCGUUCAGUCUCUGGAUAUAGACCCGAAACCAGGUGAUC